UACGUAGGGAGCAAGCGUUGUUCGGAUUUACUGGGCGUAAAGGGCGCGUAGGCGGCGUGUCAAGUCGAUUGUGAAAUCUCCGGGCUUAACUCAGAACGGCCAAGUGAUACUGCAGUGCUAGAGUGCAGAAGGGGCAAUCGGAAUUCUUGGUGUAGCGGUGAAAUGCGUAGAUAUCAAGAGGAACACCUGAGGUGAAGACGGGUUGCUAGGCUGACACUGACGCUGAGGCGAGAAAGCCAGGGGAGCAAACGGG
rnacentral:rRNA from 1 species